UUAUAUUACUUUGGAAAUACAAAACUGGAAUGAUGCGGAGAAGAUUAGCAUGGCCCCAACAUGAAGAUGACAUGCAAGUUCAUGAAGCAUUCUGUAUUUUA
rnacentral:snRNA from 1 species